rnacentral:rRNA from 1 species
CGCCAGACUCCUACGGGAGGCAGCAGUGGGGGAUAUUGCACAAUGGGGGGAACCCUGAUGCAGCGACGCCGCGUGGGUGAAGGAGCGUUUCGGCGCGUAAAGCCCUAUCGGCAGGGAAGAAGGAGGACGGUACCUGACUAAGAAGCCCCGGCUAACUACGUGCCAGCAGCCGCGGUAAUACGUAGGGGGCAAGCGUUAUCCGGAUUUACUGGGUGUAAAGGGAGCGUAGACGGCAAUGCAAGCCAGAUGUGAAAGCCCGGGGCUCAACCCCGGGACUGCAUUUGGAACUGUGUAGCUGGAGUGUCGGAGAGGCAGGCGGAAUUCCUAGUGUAGCGGUGAAAUGCGUAGAUAUUAGGAGGAACACCAGUGGCGAAGGCGGCCUGCUGGACGAUGACUGACGUUGAGGCUCGAAAGCGUGGGGAGCAAACAGGAUUAGAUACCCCUGUAUG